UACGUAGGUGGCAAGCGUUGUCCGGAUUUACUGGGCGUAAAGGGCGUGCAGGCGGUCUGUUAAGUUCAGGGUGAAAGCUCCCGGCUCAACUGGGAGAGGUCCUUGGAUACUGGCAGACUUGAGGAGGGUAGAGGAGAGUGGAAUUCCCGGUGUAGUGGUGAUAUGCGUAGAUAUCGGGAGGAACACCAGUGGCGAAGGCGGCUCACUGGACUGGUAUUGACGCUGAGGUGCGAAAGCAUGGGGAGCAAACAGG
rnacentral:rRNA from 1 species